rnacentral:lncRNA from 1 species
CCCAUCUCCACCAAAAAUACAAAAACCAGUCAGGCGUGGUGGCGCAUGACUGCAAUCCCAGGCACUCGGCAGGCCCAGGCAGGAGAAUCACGGGAGCCCGAGGCAGGGAGGUGCAGCGAGCCGAGAUCACGGCAGUACAGUCCAGCCUCGGCAACAGAGGGAGACCACAGAAAGAAAGAAAGGGAGAGAGGGAGGGAGGGAGGGAGGGAGGAAGGGAGGGAGGAAGGGAGGAAGAAAGGAAGGAAGGAAGACUCUUUUAUUUUCUUUUGAGACAGGGUCUUGCUCUGUUGCCCAGGCUGGAGUGCAGUGACAUGAUCAUAGCUCACUGCAGCCUCCAGCUUCUGGGUUCAAACCAUCCUCCUGCCUCAGCCUCCUGAGUAGCAGGCACUACAGACAUAGGCCACCACACCCAGCAUUUGCUCUGGGGGAAACAAGCUGCCAUGCUGUGAGCAGCCCACUGGAGAAGCCCACGUGACAAACUGAACUGAAGCUUCCAGCCAACAGCCAGGGAACCUGAGUUGGGAAGUGGGCCCUCCACGAGUCAAGCUCUUGGAUGACACCUUGACAGCAGUCUCAUGAGAGACCCUGAGCCAGAACCACCCAGCUAAGCUUCUCCUGGAUUCCUGACCCACAGAAACUGAGAGAUAAUACAUGUGUGUUUUCUUGAGCUGUUUUUUGUUACACGGCAGUAGAUAACUAAUACGGUAUAAAUAGUAAUGGUACCUGACUGCAGGCUCUCAGUAAGGAGCGAAUAGGCAAGCGCAGGUAGAGCUCCUAGCACAGAGCACGGCACAUAGUAAGUUCUUACGAAUAUUAAUUACAAUAGAGAAUAUCUGCUUCCCGCAAGUGCCUCUAAAGGAGCGAGUCUGGUGGUAUCAUUGUGGGCACAUAGCAAGUUGUAUGUAGAGAGUCGAGGGUGCAUGUAUCAUUUUCCAUAGCGGCUGUAACAAAUUACCAAAAAUGUACUGGCUUAAAAUGACACAAAUGUAUUACUUUACAGCUGGGGAGGUCAGAAAUCCAAAAUGGAUCAUACAGAGCUAAAAUCAAGGUGUCGGCAGAGAUGUGUUCCUUCUGGAGUCUCUAACAGAAAAUGCGUUCCUGGCCCUGUCCAGCUUCCACAGGCUGCCCACAUUCCUUGGGUCUUGGUGGCACCAUUCUGAACUCUGUUUCCAUUGUCACAUCUCCUCUGACUCUGACACUCUUGCCUCUUUUUUUUUUCUUCUUUUUUUUUUGUGAGACAGAGUCUCACUGUCACUCAGGCUGGAGUGCAGUGACGCGACUCACUGCAACCUCCACCUCCUGUGUUCAAGUGAUUCUCCUGCCUCAGCCUCCCAAGUAGCUGGAACUACAUGCAUGUGCCAUGACGUCCAGCUAAUUUUUGUAUUUCUAGUAGAGACAGGGUUUCACAUGUGGCCAGGCUGGUCUCGAAAUCCUGACCUCAAGUGAUCCGCCCACCUUGGCCUCCCAAAGUGCUGGGAUUACAGGCAUGGGCCACCACACCCAGCUGCCUGUCUCUUAAAAAGACCCUUGUCAUUUCAUUGGACCCACCUGGAUAAUCCAGGGUAAGUUUCCUGUCUCAAGACUCUUCACUUGUUCACAUCUACAAAGUCCCCGAUGCUGUGUAAGGGAACCUAUGCACAGUUCUGGGGAUGAGGAAGUGGACAUUUUGGGGUACAUGAUUGAGCCUACCAUAACAGGAUUCCUCCUUGGUCUCUGAGCCUUCUCUUCCCCAGUCAAGGCUGUUCCCUGUUCCUCCCACCAAAGAAUUCCUUUCCAGGCUGGGCAUAGUGGCUCAUACCUGUGAUUCCAGCACUUUGGGAGGUUGAGGGAGGAGGAUUGCUUGAGCCCAGGAGUUUGAGACCAGCCCAGACAAAAAGGCAAGACCUUGCCUAUACAAAUUUUUGUUUUAUAAUUAGCUGGGCAUGGUGAUACACACCUGUAGUCCCAGCUACUUGGGAGGCUAAGGCAGG